AUGGACUGGGCUCCCUUCUACCUUCUACCCUUUAUUAUUGUCACAGGUUUCUGUGAUCUGCCUGUGCUGACUCAGCCUCCAUCUGCAUCUGCCUCCCUGGGAGCCUCUGUCAAGCUCACCUGCACCCUGGGCAGGGAGCAAAACACUGGUUCACUGGUAUCACAGGAUACCGGUGAACUGAUUGUUCACUGCUAUCAACAGGAACCAGGGAAGGCCCCUCGGUAUUUGAUGAAGGUUAAUAGUGACGGAAGCCACAGUAAGGGGAAUGGGAUCCCCAGUCCCUUCUCAGGAUCCAGCUCUGGGGUUGACCACUAUUUAACCAUCUCUGACAUCCAGUCUGAGGAUGAGGCUGAGUAUUACUGUGGUGACAGCCAUAAAAUCGAUGGUCAAUAUGGUUAA